GACGUAGGAGGCGAGCGUUGUCCGGAUUCAUUGGGCGUAAAGAGCACGCAGGCGGUUUGGCAAGUCGGACGUGAAAAUCCGGGGCUCAACCCCGGACCUGCAUCCGAAACUGCCCGACUAGAGGUAGGUAGGGGAGAUCGGAAUUCCUGGUGUAGCGGUGAAAUGCGCAGAUAUCAGGAGGAACACCGGUGGCGAAGGCGGAUCUCGUGGGCCUUACCUGACGCUCAGGUGCGAAAGCUAGGGGAGCGAACAGGA
rnacentral:rRNA from 1 species